rnacentral:rRNA from 1 species
GAUGAACGCUGGCGGCGUGCUUAACACAUGCAAGUCGAACGAUGAAGCCCAGCUUGCUGGGUGGAUUAGUGGCGAACGGGUGAGUAACACGUGAGUAACCUGCCCUUAACUCUGGGAUAAGCCUGGGAAACUGGGUCUAAUACCGGAUAGGAGCGUCCACCGCAUGGUGGGUGUUGGAAAGAUUUAUCGGUUUUGGAUGGACUCGCGGCCUAUCAGCUUGUUGGUGGGGUAAUGGCUCACCAAGGCGACGACGGGUAGCCGGCCUGAGAGGGUGACCGGCCACACUGGGACUGAGACACGGCCCAGACUCCUACGGGAGGCAGCAGUGGGGAAUAUUGCACAAUGGGCGCAAGCCUGAUGCAGCAACGCCGCGUGAGGGAUGACGGCCUUCGGGUUGUAAACCUCUUUCAGUAGGGAAGAAGCGAAAGUGACGGUACCUGCAGAAGAAGCACCGGCUAACUACGUG